rnacentral:rRNA from 1 species
UGCCACUAGAUAUUUAUUAAUGGUACAUCCUGCCCAGUGAUCAAUUCAACGGCCGCGGUAUCCUGACCGUGCAAAGGUAGCAUAAUCACUUGCCUAUUAAUUGUAGGCUAGAAUGAAAGGAUAAACGAGAAUAUAGCUGUCUCUCUUAAACAAAUAAAAAUUUAUCUUUGAGUGAAGAAGCUCAAAUAAAGUCACAGGACAAGAAGACCCUAUAGAGCUUUACCAAAACUGCUUAUUUAAAAAACAUUACGGUUCGGUUGGGGCGACCAGGGGCAUUACUAAUCACCCCUAUUCUGAUAAGAUUAACCAAUCAUAUAACUGAUCCUUAAAUUAAGAUCAAUGAAUCUAGCUACCUUAGGGAUAACAGGCUAAUCCUCUUAGAGAGCCCUUAUCGACAAGAGGGAUUGGCACCUCGAUGUUGGCUUAGGACUUCUUUAUGUCGCAGCAGACAUAACCAGAUGGUUUGUUCAACCAUUAAUUUCCU